AUAAAAUCAGUGCGUCUCUUUGACUAGAGAUAAAGGUUUAAAAGACUUUAAAAUAACAAUUUUGUGCUCCUUGGUGUCAGUAUGGGAGGUCUGUUAAAAGAAUCGAAAAAUCGAGUGCCAGGAAAUGAGAACUGAAAUUUCUAGGAGUCUUCCCACAGGCUGGUUAAGAUAUUUCAGCUUUGUGAAAUCAAUUAGAAGGAUCCUUGAUAAGCCAGUAAGCAAACAUCGCAGAUAAAAAUACAGAGAUAAAAGUACCUCAGAGUUGAAAACAGCGCUGACUGGCUUAUGAUCGCUUAUUCUCAAGGAAGGAUGACUCUGGUAACUCAACUGAUGAAUGGCAUCACCUUUCCACAAAACUCGAUCACACCAUGCGGGAGCUCGAUUCUUCUCACUAAAAAGCGAAGAAAAAGGAUUCAGUGGAGCCCCUUGACACAAAUGCAACUUGGCAGCUCUGUGUAAUUGGUCCACUCUGAUUCAUGCUGUGCUGCCACAAUAAUGGCAACAAUUGUAUCACAUUUAGAAGAUUUAUACAGCUCAAAUAAAAAAUUUGCUUCUACAGCGUAGAAAAUGAAUUGAAAUAUCGCACUUUCCUGACUUUGCAAAAGAAGGUCCGCCACCUUGAUUCUUGCAUUUACUUUUAAUGCUGAAGUGACGCCCACGACCUUCUGUCAAGUCUAAAAGUGCAAAAGCUUAUUUGGCGUGGACUCUAGACAUCUGUUCCUGUGCAUAAUCGCAGACAAGAUAAAAGUAAACAUGAUGUAAUAAAAUAAAAUAAAAAUAAACUGAUAAGGGA